GUGGCUGGUGUACAGGUGGUGCAUGGUUGUUGUCAGCUCGUGUCGUGAGAUGUUGGGUUAAGUCCCGCAACGAGCGCAACCCUCCUCUUGUGUUGCCAGCGCGUGAUGGCGGGGACUCACAAGAGACAGCCGGGGUUAACUCGGAGGAAGGUGGGGAUGACGUCAAAUCAUCAUGCCCCUUAUGUCCAGGGCUUCACACAUGCUACAAUGGUCGGUACAGUGGGUUGAGUAGCACCGCGAGGUGGUGCUAAUCCCGUAAAGCCGGUCUCUC
rnacentral:rRNA from 1 species